rnacentral:rRNA from 1 species
AGUUUGAUCCUGGCUCAGGACGAACGCUGGCGGCGUGCCUAAUACAUGCAAGUCGAACGCUUCUUUUUCCACCGGAGCUUGCUCCACCGGAAAAAGAAGAGUGGCGAACGGGUGAGUAACACGUGGGUAACCUGCCCAUCAGAAGGGGAUAACACUUGGAAACAGGUGCUAAUACCGUAUAACAAUCGAAACCGCAUGGUUUUGAUUUGAAAGGCGCUUUCGGGUGUCGCUGAUGGAUGGACCCGCGGUGCAUUAGCUAGUUGGUGAGGUAACGGCUCACCAAGGCGACGAUGCAUAGCCGACCUGAGAGGGUGAUCGGCCACAUUGGGACUGAGACACGGCCCAAACUCCUACGGGAGGCAGCAGUAGGGAAUCUUCGGCAAUGGACGAAAGUCUGACCGAGCAACGCCGCGUGAGUGAAGAAGGUUUUCGGAUCGUAAAACUCUGUUGUUAGAGAAGAACAAGGAUGAGAGUAACUGUUCAUCCCUUGACGGUAUCUAACCAGAAAGCCACGGCUAACUACGUGCCAGCAGCCGCGGUAAUACGUAGGUGGCAAGCGUUGUCCGGAUUUAUUGGGCGUAAAGCGAGCGCAGGCGGUUUCUUAAGUCUGAUGUGAAAGCCCCCGGCUCAACCGGGGAGGGUCAUUGGAAACUGGGAGACUUGAGUGCAGAAGAGGAGAGUGGAAUUCCAUGUGUAGCGGUGAAAUGCGUAGAUAUAUGGAGGAACACCAGUGGCGAAGGCGGCUCUCUGGUCUGUAACUGACGCUGAGGCUCGAAAGCGUGGGGAGCAAACAGGAUUAGAUACCCUGGUAGUCCACGCCGUAAACGAUGAGUGCUAAGUGUUGGAGGGUUUCCGCCCUUCAGUGCUGCAGCUAACGCAUUAAGCACUCCGCCUGGGGAGUACGACCGCAAGGUUGAAACUCAAAGGAAUUGACGGGGGCCCGCACAAGCGGUGGAGCAUGUGGUUUAAUUCGAAGCAACGCGAAGAACCUUACCAGGUCUUGACAUCCUUUGACCACUCUAGAGAUAGAGCUUCCCCUUCGGGGGCAAAGUGACAGGUGGUGCAUGGUUGUCGUCAGCUCGUGUCGUGAGAUGUUGGGUUAAGUCCCGCAACGAGCGCAACCCUUAUUGUUAGUUGCCAUCAUUUAGUUGGGCACUCUAGCAAGACUGCCGGUGACAAACCGGAGGAAGGUGGGGAUGACGUCAAAUCAUCAUGCCCCUUAUGACCUGGGCUACACACGUGCUACAAUGGGAAGUACAACGAGUCGCAAAGUCGCGAGGCUAAGCUAAUCUCUUAAAGCUUCUCUCAGUUCGGAUUGUAGGCUGCAACUCGCCUACAUGAAGCCGGAAUCGCUAGUAAUCGCGGAUCAGCACGCCGCGGUGAAUACGUUCCCGGGCCUUGUACACACCGCCCGUCACACCACGAGAGUUUGUAACACCCGAAGUCGGUGAGGUAACCUUUUGGAGCCAGCCGCCUAAGGUGGGAUAGAUGAUUGGGGUGAAGUCGUAACAAGGUAACCAAUC